rnacentral:rRNA from 1 species
GACGAACCGUCCAAACGUUAUUCGGAAUCACUGGGCUUACAGAGUUCGUAGGCGGUCUGGAAAGUUGGGUGUGAAAUCCCUCGGCUCAACCGAGGAACUGCGCUUGAAACUACCAGACUCGAGGGAGAUAGAGGAAAGCGGAACUGAUGGUGGAGCGGUGAAAUGCGUUGAUAUCAUCAGGAACACCGAUUGCGAAGGCAGCUGGCCAACUUGUAACUGACGCUGAGGGACGAAAGUGUGGGGAUCAAACAGG